rnacentral:lncRNA from 1 species
GGAGGUUUUCCUUCCUUCUUUUCCUGUUUCCCCGCAAUAGAAACGGCCCCGGUGAUGUGGCGCUGACGUGGUCGGCGGCUCAGCUGAAG